rnacentral:rRNA from 1 species
AGUGGCGGACGGGUGAGUAACGCGUGGGUAACCUGCCUCAUACAGGGGAUAACAGUUAGAAAUGACUGCUAAUACCGCAUAAGACCACAGCACCGCAUGGUGCAGGGGUAAAAACUCCGGUGGUAUGAGAUGGACCCGCGUCUGAUUAGGUAGUUGGUGGGGUAACGGCCUACCAAGCCGACGAUCAGUAGCCGACCUGAGAGGGUGACCGGCCACAUUGGGACUGAGACACGGCCCAA